AAUAGGGUUUGAAAAGGCAAAAGAAUCAGCAAUACGUUGUAGGAUCGAAGCAGAACAAGCUGGUGCUACUACGAAUGAAAAUAAAUCUAAAAAAAUGAAAAAUUACUUUACCCUACAACAACAACAACAACAACAGCAACAACAACAGCAACAGCAACAGCAACAACAACAACAACAGCAACAACAACAGCAACAACAACUUGGUGACAAUACUAGAAUAGAAGGUAAUAAUGGGUCAAUGGUUGAUACUACGUGUUGUAUAUUAGAACAUGAGGAUAAUGUAAUAGAUAAUAAAAAUAUGAAUGGUAAUAAUAUGUUACUAUCACAGAUGCAUACGUAUAAUACGAGUAAGCAUCGAUUAGCAGGUUCAGGACUAAAUAGUAGUAGCAAUAGUCAUGGUAAUAUGGCUUUGUAUAAUAAUAGUAAUAAUAAUAAUAAUAUUGGUAGCAAUGGUAAUAGCAAUGGUAAUAGCAAUGGAAAUAGCAAUGGUAAUAACAAUGGUAAUAACAAUGGUAAUAACAAUGGUAAUAACAAUGGUAAUAGCAAUGGAAAUAGCAAUGGAAAUAGCAAUAGUAAUAGCAAUGGAAAUAGAAAUAAUAUGAAUUGUGGUAGUAGUAGCAACCCUAUGAAUAACAUUGGUACAUGUGGUAGUAGUAAUAGUAGUGGUGGGAUAUUACACGUAAGUAAUAACAAUAGUAUUAUUAAUCAUCAAAACAACAAUAACAAAUUGAUGAUUCCUAAUAGUGACGGUCAAAAUAGUGAUAAUGAAUAUUCACCAACAAAAAGAACAAGGGCACCACGAGGAAGACGAAUGGAAAGUUUAACUGCACGUGCAAGCGCAUUGCCACAAGUCGAGGGAGUUCGAUUUGAUCCGCAUUCUUAUUCAUGGUUUGCCAAAUAUUUAGAACAUGAAGAUUCAAAAGAGCCUAAAAUAUCAAAAUAUUUAUUAAAAAAAUGGGGUUUCAAUAAAGCGCAUGCUUUAGCUGUGCAUACUGUGAAUUGUGCAUACAAAGCUGUUCCUUUCACAGAUGAAGAGUUAAUAAAUAUUUUCAAUAUAGAUGUAAAUAAUGUUAUGAAUAAUCAACGUAAUGUAAUGUUAGGUAUGCCACCGUAUAAUGAUAUGUACAAAGGAAUUGCCAAUGAAAACACAUUAAUGAAUGGAAAUAACAGUAUGGGUGUUAAUAAUGUAUUUAAUAGUAAUAGUUAUAACAACAAUAUGAUGAAUAUAAAUCAUAAUGGUAAUACUAAUAAUAGUACAACUAAUAAUAGUGGUAUGAAGAAUAUUGAGAAAGAUAACAGCAACAAUAAUAAUAAUUUAAAUAAUUUAAAUAGUAGCAGUAAUAGUAGUCAUAGUAGUAAUAGUAGUAGUAAUAGUAGUAGUAAUAAUAAUGUAGGAAACUCAGGAAACAUGGGUGCAACUAUGAAUAAUAUGAAUAAUGUUAAUAACAGUUUUAAUAAUAACAUGAAUACUUACAAAGGUAAUACAAAUGAGAAAAAAUUGAUGAAACAUAUGAAUAGUGUAAACGGUAUGAACAGUAUGAACGGUAUGAACAGCAUGAACAGUAUGAACAGUAUGAACAGUAUAAACAGUAUGAAUAGUAUGAACAGUAUGAAUAGUAUGAACAGUAUGAACAAUAUGAACAGUAUGAACAGUAUGAACAGUAUGAAUAGUAUGAACAGUAUGAGCAGUAUGAACAGUAUAAACAAUAUGAACCGCAUAAAUGGUAUGAAUGGUAUGGAUGGUAUGAACAGUAUGAACAACAUGUACAACAUGUUUAAUGGUAUGCACAACAUGCGGAAUAUGCACAACAUGCAUAACAUGCAUAAUAUGCAUAAUAUGCAUAACAUGUAUAACAUGCAUAACAUACAAAAUAUGAACAUGGGCAUGAAUGUGAGUAUGAAUCUAAACAAUAACAUGCACAACAUGAAUAACAUGAACAUGAACAAUAUGAAUAACAUGAAUAACAUGAACAAUAUGAAUAACAUGAAUAUGAAUAAUAUGAGCAUAAGCAAUAUGAACAACAUGAACAUAAACAAUAUGAACAACCUAAACAACAUGAACAACAUGAACAACAUGAACAACAUGAACAACAUGAACAACGCUUAUAAUGUGAAUACGAACGAAGGCAGAUUUAGUAAUAAAAAUACGAACAUAAAAAAUGUAAACCUUGAACAUACCCCUCUUUCAAAUAACAUCGAUAUGAGUAAAAUAAAUAAUGGUUUAGGUAACAACGAAAAUGAAACAAACAGAAAGAGUAUUACAAGUAUGUAUGCAACCACAAAUAAUAAUAACAAUAAUAAUAAUAAUAAUAAUAAUAGUAAUAAUAAUAAUAAUAAUAAUAACAAUAAUAAUAAUAAUAAUAACAAUAAUAAUAACAAUAAUGAUAAUAAAGAAAUUGAAUGUAACAAUGGUCGUAACUGCACUAAAGAUAUAAACAUUAAUGAUACCGAAGAACCAAUUAACAAUAACAUUGGUACCACGGAUGCUGUUUCAACUAUUACAAAUACCAACAAUACAGAUGAUAAUAAUAAUACUAAUGCCAAUGAUUUAAAUAAAUUAUUAAACAAAGAAUGUGAAAAUAUGGACAAGACUAGUGCAUAUGCAGAAGAAGAUAAUAGUAAUAGUAAUAAUAAUAAUAAUAAUAAUAGUAGUAGUAGCAGUAGUAGUAGUAAUAAUAAUGACGACAAUAAUAAUAAUAACAAUAAUAAUAACAAUAAUAAUAAUAAUAAUAAUAAUAAUGAUGAUGAUGAUGAUGAUGAUGAUAAUGGUAGAAAUAGCAACCCUAACGGUAAUAACAGUAGUAAUGAGAGUGCUACCAAUAUAACUGGUCAUACGUAUACAAAUAUAAUAAAAUCGUUUUUAUACAAAGGAAAUAAUACUAAUCCUAAUAGUAACAAUAAUACAUCUAACUUAAAAAACAGUACACUAACAUCAUCAACCCUUAACAGUAACAAUGUGUCAGUUGCUAAAAAUGAAUCUCACGUGGAUAUGGGAAAUACAAAUAAUCAAAGCACAUUAGAUAAUACCUGUAACAAACUGUCAAAUAAUGACAAUAUAGAUGAACAAGGUACUGUAUAUACUAGUAACAAUGUUAAUUCAUAUUCAAAUUUGGAUAAUGAUGGUGGUUGUGGUUGUAAUGAUAGUAAUGAUAGUAAUGAUAGUAAUGAUAGUAAUGUUAAUAGUGUGAAUAACAUAAACGACUACGAUAUAAAUGAUAAGAAAAACACGACUCUUAUACAACAAAAAAUAAAACAUUCAAAUUCAGAUGCAAUGGCAGGAGAUAGUGGUAAUAGUAUUAGUAAUAAUAAUACUUCAACUGAUGAAACUAAAAAUGAUUAUUCGAAAGAUGUAUAUGUUGAACAUAAUAGUAAUAGCAAUAAUGGUAACAGUAAC
rnacentral:lncRNA from 1 species